CUUAAUAUUUUUUGAUACAUUUCAAUCAAAAUUCCGUUAAUGGAGUAAUUGAACUGAUUAGUUUCAAGAAUUACAAUUAUAAAUUAUUCCAACUCAAUAUUCUUUAUUUUUAACAACAAAAACUUAAAUAAUUGAGUAAAUUGCCCUGUGCAAGUGCUCAUGGGAAGUCUGGUGUAACAUCAGAGACAAGAAGGCUGUGAGGAUGUGAGAAUGGACAUGAAGCACCUGGAACAUUCUGGAACAUUCCUUACAAAUCCUGCACCAACACCACUAAUGAAGAGAAGUUGAAUGGAGAUAAAACAGGAGGUGCCAGCAUUAUGGGAUGGCAGUGUAAACUCUGCAC